GACGAACGCUGGCGGCGCGCCUAACACAUGCAAGUCGAACGAGCGAGAGAGAGCUUGCUUUCUUGAGCGAGUGGCGAACGGGUGAGUAACGCGUGAGGAACCUGCCUCAAAGAGGGGGACAACAGUUGGAAACGACUGCUAAUACCGCAUAAGCCCACGGUGCCGCAUGGCACAGAGGGAAAAGGAGCAAUCCGCUUUGAGAUGGCCUCGCGUCCGAUUAGCUAGUUGGUGAGGUAACGGCCCACCAAGGCGACGACCGGUAGCCGGACUGAGAGGUUGAACGGCCACAUUGGGGGUAGGACGCAGCCCGGACUCCUACGGGAGGGGGGAAAGGGGGAUAUUGCACAAUGGGGGGAGCGAUGAUGGAGCGACGCCGGGAAGAGGAAGAAGGUCUGCGGAUUGUAAACUCCUGUUGUUGGGGAAGAUAAUGACGGUACCCAACAAGGAAGUAACGGCUAACUACGUG
rnacentral:rRNA from 1 species